UAAUUAAUAAGUAAAACUGAUGGAUUGCCAAUCCAUUGGGGUUUCCCCGCGUGGGUUCGAAUCCCAU
rfam:Schistosoma curassoni strain Dakar, Senegal genome assembly, scaffold: SCTD_scaffold0010886